CCUACGGGAGGCAGCAGUGAGGAAUAUUGGUCAAUGGACGAAAGUCUGAACCAGCCAAGUAGCGUGCAGGAUGACUGCCCUAUGGGUUGUAAACUUCUUUUAUAAAGGAAUAAAACGAGGCACGUGUGCCUUUUUGCAUGUACUUUAUGAAUAAGGAUCGGCUAACUCCGUGCCAGCAGCCGCGGUAAUACGGAGGAUCCGAGCGUUAUCCGGAUUUAUUGGGUUUAAAGGGAGCGUAGAUGGGUUGUUAAGUCAGUUGUGAAAGUUUGCGGCUCAACCGUAAAAUUGCAAUUGAUACUGGCAGUCUUGAGUACAGUUGAGGUAGGCGGAAUUCGUGGUGUAGCGGUGAAAUGCUUAGAUAUCACGAAGAACCCCGAUUGCGAAGGCAGCUUACGAAACUGUGACUGACAUUGAUGCUCGAAAGUGUGAGUAUCAAACAGGAUUAGAUACCCCUGUAGUC
rnacentral:rRNA from 1 species